GCGGUGUGCCUAAUACAUGCAAGUCGAACGCGUUGGCCCAAUUGAUUGAUGGUGCUUGCACCUGAUUGAUUUUGGUCGCCAACGAGUGGCGGACGGGUGAGUAACACGUAGGUAACCUGCCCAGAAGCGGGGGACAACAUUUGGAAACAGAUGCUAAUACCGCAUAACAACGUUGUUCGCAUGAACAACGCUUAAAAGAUGGCUUCUCGCUAUCACUUCUGGAUGGACCUGCGGUGCAUUAGCUUGUUGGUGGGGUAACGGCCUACCAAGGCGAUGAUGCAUAGCCGAGUUGAGAGACUGAUCGGCCACAAUGGGACUGAGACACGGCCCAUACUCCUACGGGAGGCAGCAGUAGGGAAUCUUCCACAAUGGGCGCAAGCCUGAUGGAGCAACACCGCGUGAGUGAAGAAGGGUUUCGGCUCGUAAAGCUCUGUUGUUAAAGAAGAACACGUAUGAGAGUAACUGUUCAUACGUUGACGGUAUUUAACCAGAAAGUCACGGCUAACUACGUGCCAGCAGCCGCGGUAAUACGUAGGUGGCAAGCGUUAUCCGGAUUUAUUUGGGCGUAAAGAGAGUGCAGGCGGUUUUCUAAGUCUGAUGUG
rnacentral:rRNA from 2 species